CCAGACUCCUACGGGAGGCAGCAGUGAGGAAUAUUGGACAAUGGACGAAAGUCUGAUCCAGCUAUGCCGCGUGCAGGAUGACAGCCCUACGGGUUGUAAACUGCUUUUAUACAGGAAGAAAAACCCCGACGUGUCGGGGCUUGACGGUACUGUAAGAAUAAGGAUCGGCUAACUCCGUGCCAGCAGCCGCGGUAAUACGGAGGAUCCAAGCGUUAUCCGGAAUUAUUGGGUUUAAAGGGUCCGCAGGCUGUUUUUUAAGUCAGAGGUGAAAUCCUGCAGCUCAACUGUAGAAUUGCCUUUGAAACUGAAAGACUUGAGUUAUUGUGAAGUGGUUAGAAUGUGUGGUGUAGCGGUGAAAUGCAUAGAUAUCACACAGAAUACCAAUUGCGAAGGCAGAUCACUAACAAUUAACUGACGCUCAGGGACGAAAGCGUGGGUAGCGAACAGGAUUAGAUACCCUGGUAGUCCACGCCGUAAACGAUGGAUACUAGCUGUAUGUCUACCUCAGGUAGAUGUGUGGCCAAGCGAAAGUGAUAAGUAUCCCACCUGGGGAGUACGAUCGCAAGAUUGAAACUCAAAGGAAUUGACGGGGGCCCGCACAAGCGGUGGAGCAUGUGGUUUAAUUCGAUGAUACGCGAGGAACCUUACCAGGGCUUAAAUGUAACGGGACAGGUCUAGAGAUAGACCCUUCUUCGGACUCAUUACAAGGUGCUGCAUGGUUGUCGUCAGCUCGUGCCGUGAGGUGUCAGGUUAAGUCCUAUAACGAGCGCAACCCCCAUCGUUAGUUGCCAACGAGUAAUGUCGGGAACUCUAACGAAACUGCCGGUGCAAACCGUGAGGAAGGUGGGGAUGACGUCAAAUCAUCACGGCCCUUACGUCCUGGGCU
rnacentral:rRNA from 1 species